GAUGAACGCUGGCGGCGUGCCUAAUACAUGCAAGUCGAGCGAACAGACGAGGAGCUUGCUCCUCUGACGUUACCCGCGGACGGGAGAGGAACACGUGGAUACCCUAUCUAUAAGACUGGGAUAACUUCGGGAAACCGGAGCUAAUACAGGUUAAUAUAUUGAACCGCAUGGUUCAAUAGUGAAAGACGGUUUUGCUGUCACUUAUAGAUGGAUCCGCGCCGCAUUAGCUAGUUGGUAAGGUAACGGCUUACCAAGGCAACGAUGCGUAGCCGACCUGGGAGGGUGAUCGGCCACCCUGGACCGGAGACACGGUCCAGACUCCUACGGUAGGCAGCAGAAGGGAAUCGUCCGCAAUGGGCGAAAUCCUGACGGAGCAACGCCGCGUGAGUGAUAAAGGUCUUCGGAUCGUAAUACUCUGUUAUUAGGGAAGAACAAAUGUGUAAGUAACUAUGCACGAGUUGACGGUACCUAAUCAGAAAGCCACGGCUAACUACGUG
rnacentral:rRNA from 1 species